rnacentral:rRNA from 1 species
UACGUAGGGUCCGAGCGUUGUCCGGAAUUACUGGGCGUAAAGAGCUCGUAGGUGGUUUGUCGCGUUGUUCGUGAAAACUCACAGCUUAACUGUGGGCGUGCGGGCGAUACGGGCAGACUAGAGUACUGCAGGGGAGACUGGAAUUCCUGGUGUAGCGGUGGAAUGCGCAGAUAUCAGGGAGGAACACCGGUGGCGAAGGCGGGUCUCUGGGCAGUAACUGACGCUGGAGGAGCGAAAGCCGUGGGGAGCAAACAGG